ACCCUUAAAAGUAUAAAAUAUUGUUUACAGAUUUAUCAACAAUUGUUUUGAUAUUGUUAUAACUCUCAUUUUCAAUUUAUGCGGUGCAGAACUCUCUCUCUCUCUUUCUCGUCCUCCUCCCAGUUUCUCUCUAUCUCUCAAUCAUGAACAAGGGAGCAAUAAUCUUUCAAGGGUUCUUUCAAUGAGUCGGUACUCUCUACAUUCCUUUUCUCUUUCCUCUUCACAACGCAAGUCAAAGUCUUUUAUCUGCUUCUUUUGGUGGAAAAAUCGAUGCAGAUCCAAAAAUCGAUUCGCAUAAGAGUAUCAGGUUAUUGAUCUGAUACUCUUAUGCGAAUCGAUUGUUUGACAUGAAUCUUCCCCUUUCAACAAAACUUCCGAUGGAUACCAUUGCACACCAUGUCUAAGUGUGAUCUUUUGUUAUUCACUUGCUUAGCGGACUGUUUCUGUCUACAUUGUUUUACUUUAUGUGAAUGGAAGAUGGGUUGAAUAUGCAUUCUGAUUUCUUAAGCUACUUAAAAUUCUGGAUUUUCUGGGUUGCUCUAUGAUUGGAGUCUAGAGGUUGGUCUGGCCUAUUGCUCUUUCCUUGUGCCUAUUUCGCUUUAUGGGGUUCAUUUACAGGUUCAGCAGGUCAAAGACAUAGACAAGCUGGGUUUUAUGGGUCUGGUUCAAGAAGAGCUUGUGUUGAUAGAAGACUGGUACAUUUUUAGAUGAGACCGGUGGGGAUUGGUGGAGGGUUGUCACUUGAGACAAGAAAACCAAUCAUACCAAUCGCAGGGUCUAGUCAAAUGCAGUGCUUCUGUAAUAUGUGUGUCUGCUAUGAAUGCCAGAUGUGCUACAGCACUACAAACCAAAUCUGUUACGCACCAGGCUCCAACAAUCACAAGUCUUCCUCUCCCAGAAGCAUCCAUACUCUGUGAAACCAUAGUGAUUAUUUCAGGACGUGACUGCAACUGGCUUUCAGGACGUGACGUUCAAAUCCUAUAAUGGUGAUCCAUGAUCCAUGAAGAUGAAGUGAUCCUAUGAAAGGAGAAGAAAGGAGAAGAUCAAGGCUGGAAUUAUGGACAGCCAACUAUUAGAUAGUUUUUAUAUGGAUUGGCUCGAUGUUAUUUGUAUCAUGUAUUCAUGUGGUUUGAGGAUUGUUGAGUAGUCCCUACCUUAUAGUAUUGUAGAUUUGAAGAAGGUGAAAUUUUAAUUUUGUUUUUAUUUUUUUUUAAUUUUGAAAUA